rnacentral:rRNA from 1 species
UACAGAGGUGGCAAGCGUUGUUCGGAAUUACUGGGCGUAAAGGGCGCGUAGGCGGCCAUUUAAGUUAGACGUGAAAUCCCCAGGCUCAACCUGGGAAUUGCGUUUGAUACUGGGUGGCUUGAGUUCGGGAGAGGGAUGCGGAAUUCCAGGUGUAGCGGUGAAAUGCGUAGAUAUCUGGAGGAACACCGGUGGCGAAGGCGGCAUCCUGGACCGAAACUGACGCUGAGGCGCGAAAGCCAGGGGAGCAAACGGG